rnacentral:rRNA from 1 species
AGUGAACGCUGGCGGUAGGCCUAACACAUGCAAGUCGAACGGCAGCACAGUAAGAGCUUGCUCUUACGGGUGGCGAGUGGCGGACGGGUGAGGAAUACAUCGGAAUCUACUUUUUCGUGGGGGUUAACGUAGGGAAACUUACGCUAAUACCGCAUACGACCCACGGGUGAAAGCAGGGGAUCUUCGGACCUUGCGCGAUUGAAUGAGCCGAUGUCGGAUUAGCUAGUUGGCGGGGUAAAGGCCCACCAAGGCGACGAUCCGUAGCUGGUCUGAGAGGAUGAUCAGCCACACUGGAACUGAGACACGGUCCUGACUCCUACGGGAGGCAGCAGUGGGGAAUAUUGGACAAUGGGCGCAAGCCUGGUCCAGCCAUACCGCGUGGGUUGAGGAGGCCUUCGGGUUGUAAAGCCCUUUUGUUGGGAAAGAAAAGCAGCAGGUUAAUACCCCGCUGUUCUGACGGUACCCAAAGAAUAAGCACCGGCUAACUUCGUG